GAUGAACGCUGGCGGCGUGCCUAAUACAUGCAAGUCGAGCGAACAGACGAGGAGCUUGCUCCUCUGACGUUAGCGGCGGACGGGUGAGUAACACGUGGAUAACCUACCUAUAAGACUGGGAUAACUUCGGGAAACCGGAGCUAAUACCGGAUAACAUGUUGAACCGCAUGGUUCAACAGUGAAAGACGGUCUUGCUGUCACUUAUAGAUGGAUCCGCGCCGCAUUAGCUAGUUGGUAAGGUAACGGCUUACCAAGGCAACGAUGCGUAGCCGACCUGAGAGGGUGAUCGGCCACACUGGAACUGAGACACGGUCCAGACCCCUACGGGAGGCAGCAGUAGGGAAUCUUCCGCAAUGGGCGAAAUCCUGACGGAGCAACGCCGCGUGAGUGAAGAAGGUCUUCGGAUCGUAAAACUCUGUUAUUAGGGAAGAACAAAUGUGUAAGUAACUAUGCACGUCUUGACGGUACCUAAUCAGAAAGCCACGGCUAACUACGUG
rnacentral:rRNA from 1 species